AACGAACGCUGGCGGCAGGCCUAACACAUGCAAGUCGAGCGAAGCCUUCGGGCUUAGCGGCGGACGGGUGAGUAACGCGUGGGAACGUGCCCUUUGGUACGGAAUAGCCCCGGGAAACUGGGAGGAAUACCGUAUGUGGUCGAGAGACGAAAGAUUUAUCGCCAAAGGAUCGGCCCGCGUUGGAUUAGGUAGUUGGUGGGGUAAUGGCCUACCAAGCCGACGAUCCAUAGCUGGUUUGAGAGGAUGAUCAGCCACACUGGGACUGAGACACGGCCCAGACUCCUACGGGAGGCAGCAGUGGGGAAUCUUAGACAAUGGGGGAAACCCUGAUCUAGCCAUGCCGCGUGAUCGAUGAAGGCCUUAUGGUUGUAAAGAUCUUUCAGUGGGGAAGAUAAUGACUGUACCCACAGAAGAAGCCCCGGCUAACUCCGUGCCAGCCGCCGCAGUAACAC
rnacentral:rRNA from 1 species